rnacentral:lncRNA from 1 species
GCCUCAAACGUAAAUAUUUCCGCCUCAGGCGGAAAUGCUGCAGAUUUCACCAAUUUUUCAUCUGCUAUCUUCCUUUGCAUGUAUUUUCAAUCAGUGUCUUAUUCUUACAUGAUUGUUGAUGCUUGUUGAUGCUUAUAACGAUUGUUAAUCAUGUAUGAAGUAUAAAUGAAGUAUAUUAAGGUGUUAAUCAAGUUAAUAAAGAAGGAUAUUAGAAUUAUGUUAUUCUAAUAAAGACGGAUAUUAAGGUAUUGAUUAUCUUAAUAAAGACGGACGUUGGAUAAUGUUCCACGUUAUUGUUGACGGGCUAUAUGCCAAAAUU